UACGUAGGGCGCAAGCGUUGUCCGGAAUUAUUGGGCGUAAAGAGCUCGUAGGCGGCCUGUUACGUCUGCUGUGAAAUCCCGGGGCUUAACCCCGGGCGUGCAGUGGAUACGGGCAGGCUGGAGCAGGCAGGGGAGAACGGAAUUCCCGGUGUGGCGGUGAAAUGCGCAGAUAUCGGGAGGAACACCGGUGGCGAAGGCGGUUCUCUGGGCCUGUACUGACGCUGAGGAGCGAAAGCGUGGGGAGCGAACAGG
rnacentral:rRNA from 1 species